AAGACAUUCUCUGGGUGAAGACAGGGGAGAAGUUUACCAUGAAGUGCUCCACCACUCUAAAAGACCAGGAAGGAAUGUACCUGUUGUUGGGCUGGACAGAGACAGGGAGGUGCUGUAUUACUACCAGCAUGACUCCAAGCGACCCCCAGGAAACGCUACUGGGACCGAGUGAAGACUGAGGGACCUGUGACCAACUGACCCUCACCGUCAGUAACCUGACCAUAGAGGACACAGGCGUCUACUGGUGUGUUUACACAAAAUUCAAUAAAGCCACAUAUGAAAUGACAUCAACCAAGGAAGAGGCUCCACUCUGGUCGUGGUGAUGGUAGAUGUAUGUUUUACUCUUCUAAUGAAUGACAGUCAAUUUCACAUGUAGAAAACAUUUGUGUAAUCUAGAAUCCGACUGGUGUUUCUCAGUCUUUGGUUCAUGAACUAGCAGCAGCCCCUGCAGUGUUUCAGACCAAUUUAGUCAACUCUCAAGUGUUAGUUUCAAUCUAAACCACCAGAGCCUUACAUGUCUCGAUACCAAAAAGUUGAGAAAAAUUGUCCUUCAGUGGCUUUUCUUUUGUACAAUUCUGUCUCCGAUAGUUAUUUUGUGUGAGUGCCGCAGCAUACUGACUAGAUUUUCCCAUCUGGUGAUGUCUUCCAUAGACGAUGCCCUCCAGCUGCCAUGCCCCACAGCUACUGCAGUAACACUGACCCCCUUUCACUCAGCCAACAAGAAGCCGUGCCCAUCCGGCGUGGAAAGCAUCAUCAUCAUCAUCAUCAUCACCAGCAUCUUGACCACCCUGAUAUGUGCCGUCAUCUUCCUCGUCUGGUUCGCUCCACUGGUGAAGAGGUGCUGUAACCAGGGAGGAUACACACCACAGGUCUUUCCUGACUCGGUCUAUGAAGACAUGGCCCGGAAUCACAUUUAUCCAUCAGGCACACAGCAGGUAGAAUCGUACCUCUAUUCUGUGUCUACCAAAGGAGGAAGUAGAACCACUGUGUAGCUUCUUCAAAUGCUUUCUCUGAAUAUUGCUUCUUUACUUCAUCAGAAUUGACAAACCUGUUCUGCUGUGUUUCACAGUUCUAGCCUCAAUGCAAGUCUUAUUGGUAAAUUGUAUGUGUGUAUGUGUGUGCGUCAUACCAUGCUUAUGUGUGUGAAUAAAAUCUCUAUAUGGAUUGUAUUCAUAUUUCAACAAAAGAGGGAACAUCCAGUGUUAUAUUCCAGUUCUAUUCAACUAUAUUCUUACGGGGGCUGGACAUUUUCCACAUGUGUCCCACACACACCAGUAAAGCACUUUUCUUCUAAUGAAAUGUUGCUAAAAGUAGUUGGGGAAGAAGUGGAAAGUGCUCGAUCAACGUGAGUUGAGGUGCAACCAAACAAUGUGGUCCUCAUUGAAAAGAAACCGGCUCAAUGCUUGCUCAUCAUUUGAACUAUUGAAAGAUUCUUUAAAGUAAUUCGGUCAUUUGAAAAUCUGACAACUAAGCAUCUCAAUAAAUAACAGACAGCAACCAUAGUGCUUUUCAUUUUGGCACUGAACGCCGGAAUUUGGUGCCGAUCUUUUGUGUAUGUUCAGAAUUGAUCAGGGGGCCAGUCUAAAUUACUGAACGGUUCGGAUCUGGCCCGCUGCCGCCAGUUGAAUAUCCUUGUUUUAGUCCAUAAGGUGCACAGUUGAUAGCGAUGGAGGCCUCCCUAUAACUUUUUUCAAWAGAUCAGGUAAUAAGAUUUAUAUUGCUGUUUUCUUUAGUGUUUUUAGGUCACUGGACCCCUCAUCAAGCUGUUCCUGUGCAUGUUGUCUGCACACAAAGUCAAAAGAGCUUCGAUGUUAAAAUGAGAACAGUUUGUUAAGAUUUGUAUUAUAUUCUAUCAUAGGUACAAAUAUUUUAGCUGCCUAAACUUUCAGGUACAUUAGGAUAUAAGCCAUUUUUAUAAUUACAUUUGAUUAAUCUAUGGUUUUAGUUGAGAUAGCUAGUAGGUUAAACCAUAAUGGUCUGAGUACAUUGUUUUCAUGCUGGUACGGAGUAUUGAGUGCGUCUUGUGGUUGGAAAAACUAUUUUUAACCAAGUGACGUAGUAUUUGUUUUACACUAUGAGUCACUGUUUUUUUACUUAUUUUUCAACUUCCUAACAGCUAUUUUCACUUUAAAUAAAUGUAAAUGUGUUUUGUAUUUUUUUUAAAGGGAGAAAAAUAUUCUCACCAUUUUCCAUUUUAAUCUAAAUAUUGAUACAUCAUUGAUAGUCAUGUGAUAUUCCCCUUGUGUAUGUCAUGUUUGUGUAUGUCAUGUUUAUGUUGUAUUUGUGUAUGUGUAUCUGGCAUGCAUUGGUGAUGUUCAGCUAUAUUGCUGACAGUAUAUUGUAUGUUUGGAAAGCUUUCUAGUUAAAUCAAUCGAAGAAAAAUUCAGGCAGGAAACUGGAGUGUUUGUAUCUGCUGAUAUUGAACCAAUUAGAUUCACUCUACUGUAAUAUGGCGGUCUAUUUAGUUAACCAGGUUAUUACAUCAUUUCAUGAUGUCUGCUGCACGCAAGCUAUGCACUGGUGUUCUUGGUGACAUGCUAUGCUGUAACAUGCGGUACUCACCCUGCAUGCCUGCUUUCUGACCACCCACCCCAGACUCCACCUGUUUGGGCACUGCUUUUGUUUCAGUCAGGGAGAUUGGUAUAGCAUACCUGGCUCACUGUUUGUUAUGUUAUCAUUAUGCAUGCUCUGGCAGUGAGCUACCCCGAAGGAGCAGAGCCUAACGCCAAGAGUAACAUAUUGACUGUAUUGUAGUCUUUUCUAAUAAAUGGUUAAACAAAUAUGUGACGUUUCCGGUCUGAAUCACUUUUAAUGUCCAAUUUACGUUUCAGUAGACAUGAGCAGCAUCAUUAAGUUGUUUUUGACUCAAUUCCAAGGCCCUCCACAACAACCAAACACACACAGCAUGACCUGCAAGACAUAUGAAUAUGGAACCUAGGCUGUAUCCCUAUUCUCACACUCUACGACUUUGUCUUUGUGUAAAUCUCAUUCUUAAAUCAGAAUGCGCAAGGUCUAAGUGGUACUCUCUUCUGAAUUAAACAUUUCUUUAAAAAAUUGUGCAUGUUUUAUAACAGCAUAGUAUGAAAAUGCACAUACAGAAUGUUUAUUUUCGGCAAAAUUGAGUUUUUACUUUUGGGUUAUUUAAAUACAAUGAUAUAAUUGUCCAUGGUGAUAUUACAGGUGGUGGUAGCAACUGGUAAAACAGUUAUUUUCAAUGGAGGCAGCUCAGUUGUCGUCCUCUCUGGAGAUCCCAGAGGAACACGGUAUGAUCCUGCAGAUGCGGCUGAAGAUCUUCCUAAUCAAGUUAUUUUGCUUCUUCGGCUAUUUGCCUCCAGCUCCGUCCUCUAUAAACAAUGAAAUACCGUUGGGUAUUGCAACAAUUUGCCAUGUAGAUUGCCUAAAUAAAUGUUUUGAAAACAUGUCUGGUGUAUGAGCUUCAAUAGAGAUGGGUUGUGUUGCCUUGAAUAUAGAACAACAGACCUGAGACUGUCGCUAACAUAAGUUCUUGAGUUACGACCUUCAGCAGGCAUUCAGUGUUCUGAAAACAGACAGACGAGAGCACUGUAAGAGUAGGAAUAACGACAAUCUUUACUGUAGCUGUUUCACAAAACAUACCACAGACAUCCAAAGAAAAUAAUUGUUGCUCAUUUGUAAUAUAAAUUUGUGAUAUGAUAUUACUUUGGACACAGUCGAGGGCCAGGUAUAAAUCAUAGCCUCCUGUUUCUCCGACUCUUUGCAGGAGGAGGACAUCUUUGUUACAGUUCUCUUCGCUGUUGGUGUUGCCCAGAGCGAGUUGCUCAGAUUUAAUCUCCAGGCACAUUACUCCUUGGUGAAUGGGGCCUAGUUGGUUGAGGUCUGCAUUCUCUGUGGAAUCCUUCUGCAAACAGACAGACAUACCGCAUAUAACUAUUGGAACCUAGUAGCAGUUUUACAAAACAUAUCGAAGUCAUAUGUACAUUGUCAAGUUGUCCAAAAUGAUACACAUAACCUGCAGGGUUGCUUGAAAUGUCAUUCAAAGACUAUCAUAAUAAUAGGCCUUUUCAGAUGGCUCUUAUUUCUAACCUCAGUGUUCACCUCCUCGUUGGCAACCUAUGGUGUCACCAGAAGAUGCUUGUGAAGGCUGAGGAAAUCUACCUCUGGCUUUCCAACAGCCAUAAACUUCCAAGGGCUGCUUCUCCAUCUCCGAGGGCUGAUGCUCCUCAACCUCCACAAGUUCCUCCAUGUUGGUACCUGGGUCUGAGGUCUGGACCUCAAUGAGGAUGAUGAUUAAGGAUUCUAAAAUGUUCCCCAUCACUCGCUGGAUCAACAGGACCUCCUCGUGGUCAGACAGGCAUUGGUCUGGAACCCGUAUUGAGGUGUUCACUGCCACGAGAUAUUCCAAGUACCUCUCCAGGUUUGGAAUAUCAGCCACUCUGCUUUAGAGCAUCAGGCUAUCGGCAAACAUCAGAAAUGAUGUWGGAGUAAACCUAAUAUCAACCUUUAUCUACGUUGCUGGCAGAGGCAGGGAACAGAGGGAUGAAGAAUGUAGUGGCUCCUAUUGAGCAGCCUGGUGGUCAGGGGAGUAGAACCUCUUGGCCAGUCUUCUAGUUUAUGCCAUGAUGCUGCUCUACUGCCUGCUUCUGAGUGAAGGAAGAGGGGAGAACAGGGCAUGGCUCAGGUGGCUGUGGUCCCUGAUCAUCCUAUUUGCCUUCCUGCGACACCUGGUGUUGUAGGUGUCCUGGAGGUCAGGCAGUGUGUGUUACGCCCCUGAAAAAGGGGAGAAAUAAUCACGAGAGUGAUACGGUGUCAUUUCCUCAAUAAUAACUUUUAGUGCAAUCAUUUUACAAAAGUAACACAUUUUACAGAACAACAGAUCUACAGGAAAUAGAUAGUCUUUAGGGUACAAGGCUUGUUCAAGUCACAACAGUAUACACUGUAAUUCACUGAAACAGUUACUAAUUUCAAUAUAACUGUCAAGCACAAAGCUUUAACUCAGUAAACCAAACUCAAUUUAUCAACAGGAAUAAGUAUUUGAAAAACCAUUAUGCAAUAAACACCGCAAAAUAUCUUAUUAACACGCACAUGUUCAUUCACAUCGACAUAAAAUGGCAGCUACGGGUGAACACCAGAGCAAUCGAUCUUAGGCUCAUAGAUUAAGAGCAUUUAGUAGAUCACAGAUGAACAUUUUCACCCUUCCAAUAGGCACCACAAAAUAAAGUAAUCAAUAUAACGUUUACACAAUCCUCUCACAAUUCGUACCCUUUGUACGCUUGGG
ensembl:lncRNA